rnacentral:rRNA from 1 species
AUUGAACGCUGGCGACAUGCCUUACACAUGCAAGUCGAACGGCAGCACGGGUGCUUGCCCCUGGUGGCGAGUGGCGAACGGGUGAGUAAUACAUCGGAACAUGUCCUGUAGUGGGGGAUAGCCCGGCGAAAGCCGGAUUAAUACCGCAUACGAUCUACGGAUGAAAGCGGGGGACCUUCGGGCCUCGCGCUAUAGGGUUGGCCGAUGGCUGAUUAGCUAGUUGGUGGGGUAAAGGCCUACCAAGGCGACGAUCAGUAGCUGGUCUGAGAGGACGACCAGCCACACUGGGACUGAGACACGGCCCAGACUCCUACGGGAGGCAGCAGUGGGGAAUUUUGGACAAUGGGCGAAAGCCUGAUCCAGCAAUGCCGCGUGUGUGAAGAAGGCCUUCGGGUUGUAAAGCACUUUUGUCCGGAAAGAAAUCCUUGGCCCUAAUACGGUCGGGGGAUGACGGUACCGGAAGAAUAAGCACCGGCUAACUACGU